CAUUGAGUCUCUUUGUCACUAGAUUUUCUUGAUUGGCACCUCCGCACCUCGCUGCUCUAUCUCCGCGGCACCUUAAACCAUCAAUCACCCUAAACCUUCACCUUUUCUGCCUCCCAAUCUUUGCUCACAUUUAUGUUACUUACUAUAUUGGUGCAAUUAUUUUUGGAAAUUACAUAUAUGGAGUAUAAGAUAAUGGGGAAACGAAAAAGAAGGGCUGAUAAAAAUAAAGCACCAUCGCAUCCAGGAAAAGCCCAGCAUGCCACAUUUAGUAUGACAUUAUAUGGAUGAUGGAUCAAGAUCUCCGCCAGUUUGCUUUCAUACCUGCAAUUUCCAAGCUUGAUGUAAUCAUGUGUGCAUAAUAACAACGCCCAGAUGGAUUUCAGGAGUCUGGCUUGGUGCAAACUUAGAUAUUCUGUGGAACUCUGUAGUUGAUUUUUAUCCUGAUUUUUUUAGCGAAACCUAUAUUCAAGUUUUAUUCUCAGAUGUUCUUGGUGGUGAUCAUCCAGAUAUUUGUCAAGUGUAUAUUCUUAAACUUUAUAGUGUGUCUGAAAUCUAGAAUCACAGCCAUCUUCAUUUAUGUUUUUCCCCACUAUUUCUGGAAAAGACUGACUUUUGUGGCUAGGCAACUGCAAUUUUCCAUGAUUCCCAGAAGUAGAGUGAUUAUCAAGAAGCUUGUGUCAUUUUAUCUUGUUCAUCAGUUCAGUUACUUACAUUUUAUGUUGGCUCUGUCAACUAGAAUUUGUAUUUUCCAAUUGCAUUUAAGUUUUUUACAUUGAAGAGUCACUAACCGUCAGCUAUCAGUUUCAGACAUCAUACCAUAUGCACCUCCCAGGGGUCUGCAGUCCAAACAGGCGCUUCUCAUGGAUGCUCCGGAUAGUUCUCUUAAGAGAUCACCAGGUCACGAAUCACCUCAUCAUCAGAAUCAUGGCUCCAGCCGUAGAAUAUUGUUGAGGCAUUCUCGUCAUCCCUUUGGUCGCCACUAUUCUAGACGAGGCUCUAGUAACUAUUCUGAUGCAUCUCCUUCUAAUUGGAAAGCUUUACCUGUCUAUGAUUCUAAUCUGUCCUUCAAACCGGAAAGUAAAGAUCUCUCAGCCUUCCAGUAUAGAGGGAGCAGGAUAUUUCAAAAACCUGAGCGGAUAAGGUCAAGUUCAUUGGUGGAGAAUUCAAUAUGGGGAGAUGAAAGGAAGCUGGAAUGCAGGAUAUGCCAGAAGUCUCUGAGGAAGCAUCCCUUCAUGUUCGAGAAUUCUUCAUCUACCGAUCUCUCUGUUGUGGCAGUUCUAGUUUGCGGCCAUGUAUAUCAUGCCGAGUGCCUGGAACAGAAAACACGCCAUGAAGAUAGCCGGGACCCGCCAUGUCCGCUGUGUGUAUGUCAGACAUGAUAUGUUGUCGAAAUAGAAUGGAAGUUGUGCUAAAGGUAUUGUGACAUGAUGUACAGGAAAUCAGCCUCUGGGAUUUGAAUUUGGUUUGGCUUAAUAUAGUUAACAGGCUAUAUAUAGAUUAGGUGCCUCUGUCAGGCCUCUUUACUGCUAAUGUAACACUGCUUUUGCAACCUUUCGGUACAGUCUCUAACAAAAUCGUGAUCUUCAUUUCCGGGUUUAUGUUGCCGAUGAAUCUGAUGGAAGUAGCUAUGUAAUGAUCAGUUGUAAUUUGGUGUUGCUUUUUUCAGUUCUGAUCAGUAUUUUGUAGAUUUAUAAAAGCUGCAGUUUAUUGUCAA